rnacentral:lncRNA from 1 species
CACGGGGACACGUUGCGCGUUCCUUGCGUCGCAAGUUGAAAGAAAGACGAUUCAAAGAGCAGAAACACGUACUUUGAGACAAAUACGGUGUUAAAUAUUAACGACGAUGUUAAUGGAAUUCCUUCGAUGUAAAUAUCAUUAUAUUAUAAUAUUCGAUCGCGUUAUAAUAUUAUUUACUACGAUACAUGAUUUUCAAACAUUACGUAGUUUAAUUAGAAAGAAACGUCUCUACCAAAUAGCCAGGAAAGAUUUGAAUCGAACUCUUCUAUUCGAAGUCUUAAAUCGCUAUGCCAAUGAAAUAUUUAAAUUAAUCAACUUUUUCUAACAAAACAGGGGCUCCGCUUCAUACUCGGGCAUCGCAUAAAUAACUUUAAUCUCAUAAAUCUGCACGAAGCUUUACACACGGAUACGAUACGAACAGCGUAUAUACGAGAAGAGAAGCAGUCGCACGGAUGGAGGUCGUUUAAACCGAGUCGUAAGUGUUUGAACGAGCAGAAACCGGACGAUAGUGUUGGUGUACGCGUAGAAACAUGUACGCAUAACCAUGGAGACCGCGUGGGACCUGUUAGCCCCGCCCUAUACCGACCAGAUGUCAUUACUCAUUACGCGCUACGUCGUUGCGGGUUCCUCCUUCUUGAUUAAAGGGCCAGAGAAAAUCGUUCGAUCGGACAUCACCCCGUCUUUUUGCUUCUGUUUUUGCUGCGCGUUUCGCCUUGCUUCACAGGUGCGUGCUACGAAUCAGCAGCGAUCCCGAACUUAUUGUUCGGAAUUUUAAUUAGUUCCCAUAUCUUGUCGUUGGAGAGAAAUCUUUGGCAUCGGUUCUUCUCUACCAAAAUUUCUUGGAAUCGUAAUUCAGAACCACACCCCCAAUUUUUACCGAGCAGAGGUAAGCCUCGAAGAUUAAUCGAACUUAUCCGAAGUUGUUACGGACUGAACGGUUAACCGAGACGGUUGAUACCUCGCGAGUCGAUGUAAUCGAGUUUUUCGUGCGCGAACGAUACGAUAUCUAGCGGUAGAAUCUAUAAAAACGUUGAUGCAGUUCGCGCAUGCUGAUCUGACACAUAGUUCAUGCAAUGAAAUAAUAUCGCAGAAAGCGAUCGUUCGCGUCAUUCCCCGUGGAGACAUACGCGACUCUAGACGGAACGCGGUUACGUACACCUGCCAACGUAACGACCAGCAGGAUUAUUCACGUAAUGUACCCAGCGGAGAUACACGAGUCACACCUGUUGCUUGGUUCGAUACACCGGGUGCUCUCUCGGUGUUCGUUCACCCGUGGCGUGCCAACGUUUCCCCUCUGACUCAUUCAUCCGUAAAAACCUCCGAAUUAUCCACAACAUUUCGACCGGACAAACUCGCUGGUAACCAAAUUCACGAAACUUCAUCCUUAUGACAGUCUAACGUAGUCGAAGAAACUUUGAUCCUCGAAGAACGUAAAAGCAUCACGACUGAGAACGCGGCGAGUCGUGAUGCUGGCUUACUCUUUCACCUGUUAUCAAGGAGACUUCAUUCACCGCGAUACGAUGGCGCAACCUGAAUGGUGCUGCCAUUAAGUGGUUGCCUCGCUCAAGUAACCUCGCUUCCUUCAAAUUGAAUCCGCAUUAAUCCUAAGAGAAUGCAAUACAUAUUAUUCAUAACCCAUCGGAUACCCCGGUUCGAUAAUAUAUUUUAAGUUGGUUUUUUACUUAGAUUCAAACUUAUUUCCCAGCAAAUAUAAUAAAGACUUCAAAUUUUUGAAAUAA